rnacentral:rRNA from 1 species
CCUACGGGCGGCUGCAGUGGGGAAUAUUGGACAAUGGGGGCAACCCUGAUCCAGCCAUGCCGCGUGUGUGAAGAAGGCCCUCGGGUUGUAAAGCACUUUCAGUGAGGAAGAACGCCUGGUGGUUAAUACCCAUCAGGAAAGACAUCACUCACAGAAGAAGCACCGGCUAACUCCGUGCCAGCAGCCGCGGUAAUACGGAGGGUGCGAGCGUUAAUCGGAAUUAGUGGGCGUAAAGCGCGCGUAGGUGGCUUGAUAAGCCGGUUGUGAAAGCCCCGGGCUCAACCUGGGAACGGCAUCCGGAACUGUCAAGCUAGAGUGCAGGAGAGGAAGGUAGAAUUCCCGGUGUAGCGGUGAAAUGCGUAGAGAUCGGGAGGAAUACCAGUGGCGAAGGCGGCCUUCUGGACUGACACUGACACUGAGGUGCGAAAGCGUGGGUAGCAAACAGGAUUAGAUACCCCAGUAGUC